CGUCCGUGUAAGUGCCAUUUGUGUGUGAAAAAUGCAAAAAAUUUCAUAUAUAUAUGAUCUAAGUAUAAUUUUUUUUUUUUUUUUUACACCUUUAACAUUUAUUUGAUUUUAUUUUCAGCCAGCAGGGGGACCACCUGUCAUUACAGGCAGCCCCCCUGCUGGCAAUGCAGGAGGCAGCCUACCCGGCCAUGUGAUUGUGAGGUCCUCGCAAGGACCUCACUCUCACAUGGCCGGGGGGCAACGGAGGAGGAGG